CAAGAUUGGAUGGCUGGCGGCGCCGGGCGGGGCAUCGCCUGUCCGGUUACGUCCAGCCCCACUCCUCACCUUGCCUACUGCCACCGUUUGUUGCUUCCUGGCGGCGGCGUCCCGCCGCCAGGGGCUUGUAAAAGCCUUGUAUAAGCAUUGAUAUCCUGAUGUACACUAAAUCAUA
rnacentral:misc_RNA from 1 species